UUAUUACUCAAGAUUAGUAGAGCUACCUAGAUCUGGGUAUUUUCGAAGCACAAAUCUUAGAAGUUAAAAAAAAAAAAAAACGCCCUGGCGGGGAGAUAAUCUAUUUAGAUUAAAAUUAACAGUAUUUUAUAAUCAUCUUCUCUAUUGAAGUAACGUCUAUGACAUGAGUCUGUAACUGUAUUAUAUGAGAUAACAUAAGAUAAGAGUAAGACCUAGACUCUAGGUCUAAUUUUAUUCUAGAUUAGUAGAUCUAGGUAAGAUAAAGUAUUAAAGAUCAUGGCUAAG